rnacentral:rRNA from 1 species
GGGUUGUGAGGUUAAGCGACUAAGCGUACACGGUGGAUGCCCUGGCAGUCAGAGGCGAUGAAGGACGUGCUAAUCUGCGAAAAGCGUCGGUAAGGUGAUAUGAACCGUUACAGCCGGCGAUGUCCGAAUGGGGAAACCCAGUGCAAUUCGUUGCACUAUCGUUAACUGAAUACAUAGGUUAACGAGGCGAACCGGGGGAACUGAAACAUCUAAGUACCCCGAGGAAAAGAAAUCAACCGAGAUUCCCCCAGUAGCGGCGAGCGAACGGGGAGCAGCCCAGAGUCUGAAUCAGCUUGUGUGUUAGUGGAACGGUCUGGAAAGUCCGACGGUACAGGGUGAUAGUCCCGUACACCAAAAUGCACAGGCUGUGAACUCGAAGAGUAGGGCGGGACACGUGGUAUCCUGUCUGAAUAUGGGGGGACCAUCCUCCAAGGCUAAAUACUCCUGACUGACCGAUAGUGAACCAGUACCGUGAGGGAAAGGCGAAAAGAACCCCGGCGAGGGGAGUGAAAAAGAACCUGAAACCGUGUACGUACAAGCAGUGGGAGCACCUUCGGGUGUGACUGCGUACCUUUUGUAUAAUGGGUCAGCGACUUAUAUUCUGUAGCAAGGUUAACCGUAUAGGGGAGCCGCAGGGAAACCGAGUCUUAACUGGGCGUUAAGUUGCAGGGUAUAGACCCGAAACCCGGUGAUCUAGCCAUGGGCAGGUUGAAGGUUGGGUAACACUAACUGGAGGACCGAACCGACUAAUGUUGAAAAAUUAGCGGAUGACUUGUGGCUGGGGGUGAAAGGCCAAUCAAACCGGGAGAUAGCUGGUUCUCCCCGAAAGCUAUUUAGGUAGCGCCUCGUGAAUUCAUCUUCGGGGGUAGAGCACUGUUUCGGCUAGGGGGUCAUCCCGACUUACCAACCCGAUGCAAACUACGAAUACCGAAGAAUGUUAUCACGGGAGACACACGGCGGGUGCUAACGUCCGUCGUGAAGAGGGAAACAACCCAGACCGCCAGCUAAGGUCCCAAAGUCAUGGUUAAGUGGGAAACGAUGUGGGAAGGCACAGACAGCCAGGAUGUUGGCUUAGAAGCAGCCAUCAUUUAAAGAAAGCGUAAUAGCUCACUGGUCGAGUCGGCCUGCGCGGAAGAUGUAACGGGGCUAAACCAUGCACCGAAGCUGCGGCAGCGACACUAUGUGUUGUUGGGUAGGGGAGCGUUCUGUAAGCCUGCGAAGGUGUGCUGUGAGGCAUGCUGGAGGUAUCAGAAGUGCGAAUGCUGACAUAAGUAACGAUAAAGCGGGUGAAAAGCCCGCUCGCCGGAAGACCAAGGGUUCCUGUCCAACGUUAAUCGGGGCAGGGUGAGUCGACCCCUAAGGCGAGGCCGAAAGGCGUAGUCGAUGGGAAACAGGUUAAUAUUCCUGUACUUGGUGUUACUGCGAAGGGGGGACGGAGAAGGCUAUGUUAGCCGGGCGACGGUUGUCCCGGUUUAAGCAUGUAGGCUGGUUGUCCAGGCAAAUCCGGAUAAUCAAGGCUGAGGUGUGAUGACGAGGCACUACGGUGCUGAAGUAACAAAUGCCCUGCUUCCAGGAAAAGCCUCUAAGCAUCAGGUAACAUUAAAUCGUACCCCAAACCGACACAGGUGGUCAGGUAGAGAAUACCAAGGCGCUUGAGAGAACUCGGGUGAAGGAACUAGGCAAAAUGGUGCCGUAACUUCGGGAGAAGGCACGCUGGUGUGUAGGUGAAGUCCCUGCGGAUGGAGCUGAGACCAGUCGAAGAUACCAGCUGGCUGCAACUGUUUAUUAAAAACACAGCACUGUGCAAACACGAAAGUGGACGUAUACGGUGUGACGCCUGCCCGGUGCCGGAAGGUUAAUUGAUGGGGUUAUCCGUAAGGAGAAGCUCUUGAUCGAAGCCCCGGUAAACGGCGGCCGUAACUAUAACGGUCCUAAGGUAGCGAAAUUCCUUGUCGGGUAAGUUCCGACCUGCACGAAUGGCGUAAUGAUGGCCAGGCUGUCUCCACCCGAGACUCAGUGAAAUUGAACUCGCUGUGAAGAUGCAGUGUACCCGCGGCAAGACGGAAAGACCCCGUGAACCUUUACUAUAGCUUGACACUGAACAUUGAGCCUUGAUGUGUAGGAUAGGUGGGAGGCUUUGAAGCGUGGACGCCAGUCUGCGUGGAGCCAACCUUGAAAUACCACCCUUUAAUGUUUGAUGUUCUAACGUUGGCCCCUUACCGGGGUUGCGGACAGUGUCUGGUGGGUAGUUUGACUGGGGCGGUCUCCUCCCAAAGCGUAACGGAGGAGCACGAAGGUUAGCUAAUCCUGGUCGGACAUCAGGAGGUUAGUGCAAUGGCAUAAGCUAGCUUGACUGCGAGCGUGACGGCGCGAGCAGGUGCGAAAGCAGGUCAUAGUGAUCCGGUGGUUCUGAAUGGAAGGGCCAUCGCUCAACGGAUAAAAGGUACUCCGGGGAUAACAGGCUGAUACCGCCCAAGAGUUCAUAUCGACGGCGGUGUUUGGCACCUCGAUGUCGGCUCAUCACAUCCUGGGGCUGAAGUAGGUCCCAAGGGUAUGGCUGUUCGCCAUUUAAAGUGGUACGCGAGCUGGGUUUAGAACGUCGUGAGACAGUUCGGUCCCUAUCUGCCGUGGGCGCUGGAGAAUUGAGGGGGCUGCUCCUAGUACGAGAGGACCGGAGUGGACGCAUCACUGGUGUUCGGGUUGUCAUGCCAAUGGCACUGCCCGGUAGCUAAAUGCGGAAGAGAUAAGUGCUGAAAGCAUCUAAGCACGAAACUUGCCCCGAGAUGAGUUCUCCCUGAGACUUUAAGUCUCCUGAAGGAACGUUAAAGACGAUGACGUUGAUAGGCCGGGUGUGUAAGCGCAGCGAUGCGUUGAGCUAACCGGUACUAAUGAACCGUGAGGCUUAACCUUACAACGCCGAAG